rnacentral:lncRNA from 1 species
CAUUGUGAUACUUAUUUGUAACCUAAAGUACAAGAGAGAGAGAAUUGUUGAAUAAUUUUCCUCCAUAUUACCCUUUAAUUAGUCCUUAAUUACAUCAUAGCCAUUAACUAAGGAGUGAAGAUCAGAGCGAGGGACGAGCGAGGCGGCUUCCGCUGCUGAUGACACAAUCGAGGAGGCUGGGGUGCUGAUGAGACAGUAAGUGCGG